GACGAACGCUGGCGGCGUGCUUAACACAUGCAAGUCGAACGAAGUGGCGAACGGGUGAGUAACGCGUAAUCAACCUGCCCUUCAGAGGGGGUCAAUAGUUGGAAACGACUGCUAAUACCGCAUACUGAUGGAGGGGUUUGCGUCGGAAUAGCUAGUUGGAGGGGUAACGGCCAACCAAGUCGAUGAUCAGUAGCCGGUCUGGGAGGAUGGACGGACACAGUGGGACUGAGACAACGCCCAGACUCCUACGGGGGGCAGCAGUGGGGAAACUGCCGCAAUUGACGAAAGUCUGACGGAGCAAAGCCGCGUGAGAGAUGACGGCCUUCGGGUUGUAAAGCUCUGUUAAUCGGGACGCGUUACCGGAAUAGAAAGCCACGGCUAACUACGUGCCAGCAGCCGCGGUAAUAC
rnacentral:rRNA from 1 species